rnacentral:lncRNA from 1 species
UUAUCCAAAACAUCACAACUUACCAAUUUCAAAUGUACAAGAGUAGAAAACUUUUACUCUUACAUUUGACAAGUGUUUUAAACCUUCUUUAAGACAUGUCACUCAAAUGACAAUCUUGGAGUAUGACUCUAAGACUUGUAUUGGAACGAAGUAUGACUCAUCUUCUUGAUUUAACCAUUUCAACAAUUCAAGUUCCUCUUCUUAGUCAUAAGAAUGCACUAAGAUUUCCUUAGAGAACUAAUUUUGAUAUGGUUUCUUAAUCAUUAAGAUGAUCACAAAACUGAUACUAAAGUACUCUCCCAUCUUUUCAGAUUUGAGAAACUUUUAUCCUUCUGCCUUAUUUGAUUCUUCUUAUCGAUCUUUAGUGGUGGACUUAAUCAGUGCACAAGAAUGUGUACUCGAUCCCUAAGUCCUUUACUUGACUCACACAUCCAUGUGAACAAGUAAUUAGUCUUAAUUUUCCAAAACUUGAAAGUUCUCAUUCAUCAUGCUAUACAACUUGCAUGAUUCCAAGUUCCGGUCCAAUUGAAACUUGGGUGAUGAGAAUCUUUCCUUAUUUGGUAAAUUUAGACAUUACCACAAAUGAAAGAAUCAAUUUCAUAUUUCCACUCUUGCUCUUAAUGGAAUCAUAUAAGCAACAAUUUUUCCUCAAAUGCCAUUGUAAGGAUAUUUUAAAAUAAAUAAAAUAUAAAAAAUUUUCUUUUAUUUUAAAACUUUGCGGAAAAACUUAUCCUUACAAUCCAUAUGAAAACUUGUUGUUAUCUAUUCCUAAGCAAUAUCUCAUAACUCCUAAGAAGUAGCUCAAGAAUCCGAUCUUCAAACUAUGCGAUAGAAAUCCAUCUACGCCAUCAGAUUCAGCAUAUUCUUUCUUUAAGUUUCUUCACUUUUCUUUGAUUCUUAAAACAUCACCAUGUGACCCAGUCACAUCAUGUAUCAAGAAUCUCAGAAUAGAAACUUAACAGAGUUAGAUAGUGGACUUUACCUGAAGUAGAGUCAAACUUAUUGACUUUAACAUCCUUAGGUAAAUUUGGCAGCUUCGCAACCAAUGCCCCUUCCUUUGGCAAUAUAAACAUAUGGACCCUUUGAUAAUGGUACACGGGACUAUCACAGACUUAGCUUUUCUCUUUACCAUUUGGUCAACCGAGUUGACUAUGGCCGAUCCCUUUCCAUUGGGAAGAGAAUGCUUUACUGGAUAUCCAAUGUCAUCAUUGUCAAUGUCCAUAAAGUUUUAGGAAGUUGAUCUUAGCAAAUAGAUAAGAUCAUUAAGGGUCUUGUCAUAGUCUGUUUCAUAGGUGUCCCAAAGGAACUCACUAUGUGACUUAGAAAGUGGUUGAACCACCAACUUUCUCAAGACUUUGACACCCAACUCUCCCGGCUUGUCAAUAUGUGACUACAUCUCCAAGAUGUGACCACACCUAGACCUUGCCUUGCCAAUAGGGCCUGAGUGACCUUAAACUUUUCAAGAACUUGUGGGUUAGGGAGAAUAAUUUGAAGAGGUGAAGAAGUAUGAUAUCCAUGGGACAUCAUCUUCAUUAGGAAACCUUGUUUCAAGAGAUUUGGGAAGAUCAUAGGUGUCUAAACCAGACAUCUUUUGGGAGAUAUUCAAGAUAGUUGAUUUAAAGUCCUUAAUAUGACACCCAAUAUGAAAUAUUAAGGCUAGGACCCAACAAACUAUUUUAUAACUUAGAAGAGGUAUGCCGUAAUCCAAGCUAUAAAAUAUUUGAAGGUAGGUGAAUGACGAUUCACCAAUUUCCACCAAGAUAAACGAAAUGUAUUAUUAGGUUUUAAUUGGUUUUGAAACUCCUAGAUCUUUGAGAUUCAUUGAACUUUUCAAAGGCAUGUUUCAAUCUCGAGUGUGCCCUUCAGGUUUUGUGACUGGGAUGCCGAGGAUCACAAAACAAGGUGUGAAGUAACCAUGCAAAUCACUUGGUACCCUUAAUAAAUUACCCCUCAAUCGAUGUGCCGGUUAACCACACACGCUCCAUCGAUACUAUGAUAAAUAUUAAGUCACCCUUUACCUACCUUGUUAAGUCCAAGUUAGUGUGCCGGUUAACCACACACGCUCCACUAACGACUUAGACAAAGUGUAAAGUGUAAUUUCAUGGAUUAGCACCUUAUUCACAUUUUUCCUAAGUAACUAAGAUUGGGUAUUAUUAAGAGUUUAGUUACUUAGUAUUAUCAUUAAUACUUUUAAUGAAGGGAGAAUUCUAGUCCUGUCAAACCCGUUCGGCUAACGACCCUCCACCAGUCAAGCAAGCGGUGGGUGAGAGUGGACACCCAUUAAGUUGCCAUUUUAUAGGCAACAACCUUAUACCCACCUUAUAGACCGGCUUCGUGAAUGAGGCGUACUAGCGGUAAGACUGACUUUACUCUUAUACAUAUAUAUAUUAUUAACUUAUAAUAUUAUAAAGUAUAAGGGUUGAAUUUUAACUUUUAAAAUUCUAAGGGCUAACUUGGAAUUAAAGUAUUCAUACUUGAAAACUUUUCAAAUUCCAAAACUUGAGGGCAAGUUUUGAAACUAUUCAAAACUAAUUAAUUCCAUAACUUAUGUGUUUAAAGUAGUUUUAAUCCAAAAACUCUUCAAGUUCCAUAACUUGAGGACAAGUUAUGGAAGACUUUAAACUAAUAAAAGAACUAACUUUUUCUUUAUUUUAUAACUUAUGGAUUUAAUUAUGGUUACAUAUUUUUCUUUAAUGAAGUGACUCUUGAACUUCCAUAACUUGAGGACAAGUUAUGGAGUCAAAAAAAAUUAUUCAAUGACACAAGACUCUUCAUUUUGUAACCAUUGCCAACUCUUAUGAGUUUUAUGAGUCUUUAAUGUGACUCUUCAUGUAACUUGAGGACAAGUUACACAAACACAUUUUAUACUCAACUCUUAGAUUAAAAUGGAUUGAAAACAACUAUUUCACUCAACAUUUCUAUUAAUCUAAGCAACUCAUAAGAACAAGAUAAUUCAAAUCAAACUUUUUCAUGUAAUUAGUCUAAACCUUAAACUAAUACAAAACAUGAAUCUAUUGACAAUUAUCUUUGAAAAUGGAUUAGCAUGAACAUUACCACAUCAAAAACAAGUUUAUAAGUUCAAAAACAACUUAGGGUAAUGUUCCUAGUCCAUUUCUAGCCAAAAAACUCGAAAAUAUGCUGUCUGGGGGUCCAACUCGUCGAGUGCAUGAACAAACUCGGCGAGUUGGAUCGAAUUCAUCACUUUUUAGGCAUGGACUCGUCGAGUCUCCUGAUGGACUCGCCGAGUCUGAUGGCCAGACAGCACCAGAUUCGUUUUUUCAGCUUCUAUUGCAGGUAUAACAAGAAAACAAGCCUAGGCUCUGAUACCACUGUUGGGUUUUGAGCAUUCUAACACUCCUAAGUGUACAUGCAACCCUAAAUACCUUGGAUCUAUGUUUUCUCUAUUAUACAUGCAAAUAAGAACUUCCAAGGUAUUAUCCUAAUCUAGCAUACAAAACAAUAAUGUAACAAGAUAGAAUACAUACCUCUUGAUGUAGAAAGUCUUCAUGAAGCUUGAGUGCUUAGUGCCCCAAGUGUGACACCUCAAAUGGAAUCACAAUCAUCAAAACACUUAGAAUGACUUGAGAGAAUUCUACACUCACCAAAAUCGGCUAGCCCUUUCUUGAAUACUACUAGUGGCCGAUUUUUCCUCAAUAAUAAGAUGCUUAUAUAGUUACACAAUUAGGGUAAACUCUUAAUUGUCAUGGCUUUCCAUUUCCUUGGAUCCAUGGGUACAAAUACACCAUGGAGCAUCCAUGGACCAUCCUAUGGGUUUUAGCCCAACUUGAUUAUCCAUGGAGCAUUAGCCCACUAUACAAGUAUGGAUGAUUUACACAAUCAACCCAUAUAUUUAAUUAGUCUUCUUUUGAUCACUUAAUUAAUCCUAGAUUAAUUCUUGAUCAAUACUAAUUAAAUAAUCUUAUUAUUCUUAUUAUUAAUAUACUAGAACUUAUAAUAUAUUAAUAACCAUAAGUGUCUUAUUUCUCUCAUUAUAGUCUAUCCAAGUGCAUGAUGGUAUGCAACCCAAAUGGACCAUGCCGGGUCGGGUCAAGUCUUACCAAUUAUAGUUAUGGACUUAGACAUUAAUCCAACAGUCUCCCACUUGGAUAAGUCUAAAACUAUUAUUGCGUAUGACUUCAGGAACCAACUGGCAAUCGUAGCUCUCAAAAGCUUCUGUCGAACUCUGACCUUGUAGAUGAACUCUGACCUUUGUCAAUGACUUGUCCAUUAGAUAAGGGAUCAUAUAUUCCUCCAUUCUAGAUAUCAUAUGGACUGAGACAUGGAUUAUAAUCAUUCUCUCUGUCCAUUUGUUGUUUCCCGAUUUCCGAUUUAUGACGACUGACUAAUUGAACAAAUCAAAUCAGUCCUGGCCCGGCCGAGCACUUCCAUUUGUCAUCAUCAAAUCAUCGAGGGGCCCACAGAUAUCGCUUUUAUCCCGAAGGUAAAAGGAAUGGAUAAACUUCGACUCAUAUGGCUUGUUCUACUACUUGUUGAAUCAUACACAAAGGCACGUUUUAUAGCACCGAGUUACCAAAUGCGUUUUCGUGCAAUCAAUGUACUAUCAACUCAUAGUAACAACUCAUAUCUCUAGGUUUGAAGAAUAUAAGAUAUUAUCGUCUCAUGAUCACUCGUGAUAAAAUCCAUGAAGUGAUUCCAAUGAGCGCGGGUUGAAUCCAAUACUCAGAACUUAUGAGCACUCAUGAGUGUUGUAGCCCUUUGUCCAACACCUUAGACCUCUACAAGCCAACCCAUGACAGUCUUAAUUCAUAUCUACUUCCAACAUAUGACCGACUGUGGAUGGUUUGAAUAACUUAGUCAUUCCGGAAGAAUAACCCAGUUUAUUCGGGAAGUCAAAACAUGCAAAAUGAAACACAAUAAUAAUUGAAUCCAAUAUGGUAUCAACCCUUUGAACAUAAAUAAAACACCUUUUAUUUAUCACCAUAUGAUUACACAUUAUUCAUUGUAUACUGUUUCAGCUAUCAACUUUAUUCUUGAAUUUAAAACAAUAGUUGUCCCAUGCUCCAAGCAUGUACACUAUGUUUUCUUAAACACUAGUCAUGCCACACACCAAGUAUGCAUACUAUGUUUGUCUAUGAUCUUUACUUUGUGAACUAGAUCAAUUGAACAUAACUUCAAUGAUUCUCUUUUCACACUCCCAAAUCCUUACUGCAAAUGCAAGAAUUCCAAAUUCAUGCCAUUUACUGAAAUCUGUUAGAUUCUAAACUUAUAUGCAUUGAUCCUCUUGUAAUGAUUAUGCACAAAGUCACAAAGACUUGGCAACAAUCAUUACAGAGUAUUCCAAAGGAGAUCAACUCCUUGGAAAUAUCCUUCUUGCAUUAAGUUUCCUUAAUCUUACACAGAUUGAAAAUUCUAACUUUGAAACAUUUCCAGAUUCCAUUUUGACUAUCACUUCUGAACAAGAGUUGCCUCCUUACAGAUUAUGUCAAUAUGGUCCUUCCAGAAUUAUCACUAUACUUCCAACUGUCCUUGAGCAACCAAUCUUUGGUAAACCUUAGAUUGUCCUCGACAAUUGUUUAAUCCUUUUAGUCAUAUCCAGUUCUAAACCUUUUCCCUUCUUAAUGCCCCAGGCAUUUGGAAAAUUUUAGAACGGAUGAAUAUAGCACAUGUAAUCGAUCCUAUAUCCGAAGCAUAUGGGACACGAUUCAUGAUGUCUUACAUAAAGACUAAACCAGUCUUUUGCUAUAAUAUUUCCAUUUCAAUUUGCCAAGUUCUCAUAAUUCAGAUUAUGAAAAGGGAUGCCGUAAUCAUAAUCGAAUUUUAGAACGCAAAUAAUGGACCCAUAUACAGAAUUUCCUUAUGUUGAGCCAUUCCAACAUGAAAUUCAUAUAUAUCCUUGACUAAAUGAUUAAAACCUCACGAUCUAAGCUUAUAGAUUUGAGAUGAAGCAUAAUUUCCUCUCCCUUAAUUAUAGCAAAACAACUUUUUCCCAAUUGAAACUUUUGUUUUCUAUAAUUAACAUUGCUAACUUGCAAUACUUAUCAUAAUUAUCAUGCUCCCACUAACAUGAUGAUUAUUAGCAUAACACUUAUGCUCCCACUAGCUUUGACAUGUACUCAGAAAUCAGCUGACUUUCUUACCAAAGUUCAGAUUUCUGAUACUAGAUUGUUUUGAUAAAACUUUAUCAAAAUCAUACACCUUCCCUUAGAUAGCACACUUGUGUGUCUAAACAAUUAUGAAGAGGGAUGCCGUAAUCAUAAUGGUUAGACCUUUUUGCCACUUCUCACAAGUCCAGGUUAGUGUGCCGGUUAACCACACACGCUCCACUAACGACUUUGAGAAUGCAAAUAUCACAAUUGCUAUCUAGCUAAAAUCUACUUAGUGAAAGUGUUUCCUCACCAUCAUUUUCAUGAAUCGGAGAGAAACCUUAUGACACUUAGAUUUAAUGGUGUAUGUGUUCUUAUCCAUGUGAAUUGUCAAAACCAUAGUCACAAGACAAGGAUAAUGACAAAUCCAAACUCAUAUGGAUUGAACUCAAUCUUAAUUUCUUGCCACCUGGCAGCUCAAGGGCCUGCCAUUGCUUCCAAGUUGUUGUGCAACCAAUUGAGAACUCUAAGAACUCAUAUGCAAAGCCAACUUUAACUGGAAUGGGCACAGAAUAUGUCAACACGAUAGGUUAUAAACCUCAAGUCGUGUGCUAGUGAAGAACUUCAGGUUUUAUUCUUGAUUAGUUCUUGAGACUUUCAAGACCUUUAAGACUCCCACUGUCCUCUUGACCUAUAAGACUCCCUUGUCAAAUAUCCAAGAGAUAGUGUGGAUUCUAAUCAAGACAAACACUUCACACAAUUGGCCUUAGUUGGUCUUUGUUUUAUCCAAAACAUCACAACUUACCAAUUUCAAAUGUACAAGAGUAGAAAACUUUUACUCUUACAUUUGACAAGUGUUUUAAACCUUCUUUAAGACAUGUCACUCAAGUUACAAUCUUGGAGUAUGACUCUAAGAAUUGUUUUUGGAACGAAGUAUGAAUCAUCUUCCUGAUUUAACCACUUCAACUAUUUAUAGUUCAUCUUCUUAGCUAUAAGAAAGCACUUAGAGGAUGAAUUGUGAUAAGGUCUCUAAAUCAUUAAGAUGAUCAUAAAAACUGAUACGAAGGUACUCUCCCAUCUUUUCAGAUUUGAGAAACUUCUAUUCUUCUGCCUAAUUUGAUUCUUCUUAUUCGCUCUGCCUUACAUUGGAACCUUUUCCAAUGUCUCAGAGUUACACUUAAGCUUAUAAGUAUAAUCAUAUUUACUGAGCUUUAGUAAACCAUGACGAAUAGUCAUAUCGAUCUUUUGUGGUGGAAUUAAUCAGUGCAUAAGAAUGUGUGCUCGAUCUCUUAGUCCUUUACUUGACUCACACAUCCAUGUGACCGAGUUAUUAGUCUUAAUUUUUCCAAUACUUGAAAGUUCUCAUUCAUCAUGCUAUACAACUUGCAUGAUUCCAAGUUCCGGUCCAAUUGAAACUUGGGUGAUGAGAAUCUUUCCUUAUUUGGUAAAUUUAG